AACAAAAGGAGCGCCACGUUUGGCUGUUUGCAGAUGAGAUGUUAUACUGCAAAUAAUCAGUCAAGAUCAGUUCACAUUUGUUAUUGGAGAUACAGGGCAAGCGGUGUGGAAUCACAGACCUGUAUUGAUGAGCCCAGUGUCAGUGAAGAUGGCGUGGUCAGUGCAAUCCUGGUGUUUGUGGGAAAUAGAGGAACCUUGCCCAGCUUUCUACUUCGGUGUGACCCUGAUGAGGUAUUUUUUUCUGACUUUCCUGCCUCUUUGGAACAAAUCCAUUCACAUUUACUUUGGAGAGCACCGGGACAUUGACAUAAA